CCGGCGCGGUGCCCUCUCCCCGCAGGGCACUGCCCGCCCGUGCCGCUGCUCGCUCACCAAAGCGCUCCCGCCAGCGGCGCGCAGGCCGGCCGGCACGCGUGCUAAUCCCAAGCAACACAUUUUUCCAGCUAUCUCAGAGUUUAGCCAAAGCACACAGAAGACAGAAUUAGACCUGGAUCCAGGAAAGAGUCAAGGCAAACACACCAAGAAGCAGAAAGUAAAGAAAUUUAGGUUUGAAGCCAUACUUCAGCACAGACAUGCAGAGAACGUUCCAUCUCCUGUGCCAAGGCAAAACCGCUCCACUGAAAAGCUUUUACUACAACUGCAGUUGCAGGCAAGAUGCAGGGGGAAAAGGUUUGUACACAAUGGAGAAAUUUAAUUUUGGAGCAAGGCCAAGUGAUUUAGCAUGAACAUGCCAUCUUGAUGAAGCCUGGAGUUGCUAGAAACUGCUUUGGUUUCUUCCCUUUCCUGACAUCUUGCUCUACAUCUUUUAUGCAGUCAACAUGGAAAAACCAGGAAAACGUUAGCCAAAGAAUGAUGGUCAAAAAAUUUGGCUACCCACAUCUGGGUGGACAGAAUCCAGGAAAUAACCUGAGCACUUCUGUGACAAAGCAAAAUUGUUGCUUUUAUAAGACAAGGGAAGGAGAGCAGUCACCAAGAUCUGUAAAUACCUAGAUGAGAUACAGGAUUUUACAAGCUCCUAUUAGUGUGUCUUUCUAAGAGACCAACAAGACAAAUAAGAGACCAACAGAGACUGGAAGAUGAAAGUGAAAAGAUCAACAGGACCAUAUUUAUUAUGAUUUUUCUGUCUGUUCUUGAAUUACCAGAUUAUCAGAGUUCAAAAUGGAAAUGCUGUGGUUGCAAAUAUUGAAAAGAAUGUUUUAGAAACGUUAGUCAUACAUUAAUAGAAACAAAUUCUUACUUGAAUAUAUAGUGAAGAAAUAGCAGAGUUUAGGUAAGCUCUAGCCAUGCAUAUCUACAGAAAUGGAAAUUUUUAUGAUGGCACUGUAUCAUAGGCUUGAAUGCUUUGGAAAGCAAUGGUGCCAUCAAUAGCGACAGAGCUCGACAAGAAAAGUGAUUUGGAACAGUCCAUUUUAGUUUUGAAAAAUUGGAUUUAGAACUGAUUUAUACUUAACUUUGAAAAGAUAAAUCCUUCAUAUAUUACACACCAACUCCCGAAGUUCUUGCUAUGCUGAAACUUCUGCGGAAAUGGGGACUCUCUCCAAGUGGUGCUUGCGAGAUGCGAUCUCAGGCUCUCCUGGGAGCGCUGCCAAACCUCCCGCGCGGAAACGGCUCUGGAGACCUGCGCCGCUGCCGCCCUCUGCUGGACAACAGCGGAAGUGCCCCGAAUCGCCCAGCAAGGCUUCCGCCGCUGGAACGGGAUUCUUACACCUGAAAUCGCUGUGGUUUGUAAUUAUAAAUGGAUUAAAAAUUAUUUAUUUGAAUCACCGAUUAAAAAUAGUGAUUUAAA